rnacentral:sRNA from 1 species
UCCGGGAGUUCAUGUUGCGUCUUAUAU